UACGAAGGGUGCAAGCGUUGUUCGGAAUUACUGGGCGUAAAGAGCGUGUAGGCGGUUUGGUAGGUCCGCUGUGAAAACUCGAGGCUCAACCUCGAGACGCCGGUGGAAACCAUCAGGCUAGAGUCCGGAAGAGGAGAGUGGAAUUCCUGGUGUAGCGGUGAAAUGCGCAGAUAUCAGGAAGAACACCCGUGGCUAAGGCGGCUCUCUAGUACGGUACUGACGCUGAGACGCGAAAGCGUGGGGAGCGAACAGG
rnacentral:rRNA from 1 species